UCUGGUAAUGGUGCAAAGGCAAAUGGGGCAUCAUCACAUAUCUAGGUCGUAUUUUCGACAGACAGAUAUAAAACGGAGUGGGAAUGCCUCGAUUGAUAUCAUGUCCAAGUUCUUCAAGCUGAUGGUGGUUCUACAAUUAAUGAAUGAUUUGAACGAAGUGUUCAAGAUGCCGCUAUCUCUUGUAUUGAGGUUAGUUAAUUCCAUAUUUGAUAUUGUCUGUGUAUGCCUACUUCAGCCGACAUUGUGUUUUUUCUAGACCCAUGGUGACUGGUAUGAUCUCUAUUUCUAUUGGACUUGUUCAAUUUCCCAAUAGUUACAUCCCAUAUUUACAAGCUGGAGAGAUUGAAACAUUUUUUAUAACAUCUUAUCUAUUAAAACUCCAUGUCGUUUGCUCCACCAGGGGCUUCCAGUGCGCUUUUUCCCCUCGAUCUCGUGUGAUCUGAGUGUGAGAAGGCUUAUAGUGUGCUUGAGGUUCUUCGACCUCUCUAUAAUUCCCCUAAGAUACUGGAACAAAAGGUAACUGUUGCGAUAUAUGUCAAUCUUCAAUUUCGUUGUCGCUUAGCAGUUGUUGGGCUUUGGUACCCAGUCUGUAAUUUUGCUGAUGCACCAGCGACACAUAUUUAUCAUUUUUUAUUUUUAAAUCAAUAACAAAGCACAGGUACAAUAUAAUCUUAUAUAGCUUUUAAGGUAUGUAAACAUCCACUUUAGUGAUGCUAACAAAUGUAUAAAAUAAUAAUAAUUAUUUUUUCAUAGCAAUAUAUUUUAUCAUAUUGCAUCUUAGUUCAUGCUACCUGGAUGUAAAUGUGGUGCGGUUUAGUUUAAUAAGAUCUUCACUAAUCACUACAUAGUGCAGCACUGGGCUGUUAAUAUUUUUUGUACCAUGUGUCAUAAGCAUGAGAUGUUGCCUGUAGAGUACCAAUGCUUUAUUGCAGUCUUCCUCCUCGUCUGCCCCAAUGUCGGCAAGUCAGCCCUCUUCAACAGGUGAGAGACACCUUAGGAAGGCAUCGGUCAUUGCCUCUCGCCUGUAGUUUCUAUGCCGCUAUGAGGGGUGGUGGCAUUUCCUCAAAUACGUUGCAUGUAUCACUGUAACUGUUCUUCCCCUUCCGUUACCAUUAACCCAUGCAUCUAAUUACUUGUAUAUUUUACGUUACCGUUUUCCUGUUCUCAACAUUUCAGAUUCUAGAUGAUGGUACGACAAAUUAUUUUAGGAGCGCUUUGACAUAAUUUAAAGCUUGGAAGGGAGCUUUCUAUGAUUUAUUUUUCUGACUGUUUCGUCACAUGUUCUUUCCCUAGAUGAAAGUAUUGAUUUAUUUUUGGUUCUGCAGGAUCAUUGCGUCUCUGCGAGCUAAUCAGUUCUGUGAGCGUCUCCCUAGCCCCAAUGGCGAGUCAACUGUUGAUUGUCAUCAGAUCUCAAAGAUGCCAAAUCUUGCAUUCACCAUUGCAAACAAGACUUUCACCUUAACACCAGAGCAGUACAUAGUGAAGUUGGAGCAAGCAGGACAAACUAUCUGCAUCAAUGGGUUUAUGGCAUUUGACGUACCGCCUCCUCGUGGUCCUCUCUGCUACGCUAAACAUAUCUGUACUACUCUUAAGUGUGCAAUGAGGGCGUCCACCGAGGGCAUCACCGUGCCCCCGCUCGCCCCCUCCACGCCCGCGCCUGUCUGCAUCCGCCCCCUUCGUCUCCCCGCAAUGGCCGCGUCCCUACCUCAUGUCUACGACGACAACUAGCAUCGCCACAAGAGUUUGUUCUGGUGCUCACAUUGGUAAGUGUGGAACUUUCACCACAGGUUAAACAUGAAGAAGUCAUCGGGCUCGGGCUCGGUGUCGUUGGCGCGGAGCAUCCCGGAGCUGUACGAGGAGAGGGGAGCCAGCAACCUCCGGGAGUUCGGGUUCCAAGAGCUCCGGGCCGCCACCAGCGACUUCAGCCGCCUGCUCAAGGUCGGCGAGGUGGCUUCGGGAGCGUUUACAAGGGCGUCGUCCGCCUUCCUGGCGGGCCCGCCGGCGGCACGGUAGUUGCCAUAAAAAACUCAAUCCCAAUGGUCAUCAGGUAUGGUCGUGUGGAUCAGUGUUUUCUUGGCUCACCUGUGUCAAUACCAUCUUGUCGUUGUUGAUCACGAAUUCGUCAGCAUUUUUACAGUAUAUUGCCUACCAUAUACAUUAUCUCUGUGUGUGUGUGGGUGAACCCUACAUCCCGUAGAAGUAGAACUACACAGGGUCUCUGUUUUUUGGAUCAUGAAAUGGACUGUACCUUGCAUGACUCUGUACAAUUCAUCUUGCUAAUGUGUCUGUGAAGUAUCUAUCAUUUUGCUAGCCCUGUUUCAUUUCAGAAGUUCAAGGUUAUCUCAUUCUGGCAUAUCUCAUUUGCCUGCUGAUGAAGUGAAGCCUUUGGUUAAAUAUGAUAAUGAUGAAGAUGCACACUCACCUGGUGGCCGUGGAAGGGGUCGUGGUGGUCGAGGCCGUGGGCGGGGCAGGGGCAGAGGUGGACGUGGAAAUGGGUUCAAUGAGUAUGCUGAUGCUGGUUGGGAAGACGAUCACGCCCCUGCAUAUAUGGGCAAUGGAUAUGCCCGCGGAAGAGGUCGCAGUUUCAGGGGCCGUGGUAGGAGAGGCGACGACGAUAACCAGCCCGAAUACCAACAUGUCGGAGGUUAUUUCAAGAAGAUCCAAUUGAACCAAAAAGUGGAAUAAAAUUUCCAACAUUUCUGGAAGACGACUCCAGUCCAUCUGCAGCGGUCCUUGUUGGGAUAGGUUUCAAAGGCAUGAGAGUGAUGAGGGUCAAAAAUCUGAACCUCUACGCUUUUGGUUUAUAUAUGCAACCAACUUCUAUCCGUGAGAAGUUGGGUCCUAAGUAUGCUUCAUUUCCAACUGACAAGCUGAUGGAGAACCCUGAUUUCUAUAGUAAUCUUCUCAGGAAAUGGGUUCAAUGAGUAUGAUGAUGCUGGUUGGGAAGACGAUCACUCCCCUGCAUAUAUGGGCAAUGGAUAUGCCCGUGGAAGAGGUCGCAGUUUCAGGGGCCGUGGUAGGAGAGGCGGCGACAAUAACCAGCCUGAAUACCAACAGGUCGGAGGUUAUUACGAGUGUUCAUGCUCCAGCUUUAGGUGGGUAACCUCACAGGACACAAAUGAAGUGUACAAAAUAUUUUCAAACAAAAUUAAGCAAGGCCUGAAGAUAAUCUGAAGAGCUUUGUACAGGCGAUUUUUGAUCAUUGUUGAUCCUGAUUCCUGAUUCUUUUAUUUUUUUCAACAACAGAUUUUCACCAUUUGUAAUGGAACUGAAACCAGCCUCUCAUCGAAGUGGAAACCUUUUUUUAGUCGUAAACAUUUACAUGGUUUAUCCAGUGGUAUGCUGAUGAAAGAUGCUAAGUUUCGCUUAAUAUAAUGUAUAUGAAGGUCCUGUGUA